GAGUUUGAUCAUGGCUCAGGACGAACGCUGGCGGCGUGCCUAAAACAUGCAAGUCGAACGAGCCUUCGGGCUAGUGGCGAACGGCGGAGUAAUACAUAAGCAACCUGCCCUGAAGACGGGGAUAUACGGGGGAAACCCCGGGUAAUACCCGAUGUGACUCCAGAGAGGCAUCUCUCAGGAAUUAAACGGUUUUUCGCUUCAGGAGGGGCUUAUGAUGCAUCAGGUAGUUGGUGGGGUAAAGGCCUACCAAGCCGACGACGCAUAGGGGGUCUGAGAGGAUGAUCCCCCCGAGUGGGACUGAGACACGGCCCACACACCUACGGGUGGCAGCAGUUGGGAAUCUUGCACAAUGGGGGAAACCCUGAUGCAGCGACGCCGCGUGGAGGAUGACGGCCCUAGGGUUGUAAACUCCUUUUGCACGGAAGACUUAGGACGGUACCGUGCGAAUAAGCCCCGGCUAACUACGUGCCAGCCGCCGCAGU
rnacentral:rRNA from 1 species